GAGCGGGAGAGAGGGGUUUGGAUUUUGAGUCCAGUGGAGGUCGGCUUUAUCCCGCUGCAGCUUCUCACUGACAUGGCCUUGGAAGGCCGAGGAGGAGAAUUCCCGAGGGAGAAGAAAAUGGGACGGUCCAUCCGGCAUGUUGCAUGGUGACUAAUUUUCUGCAGCCGCUUUUGGAUUCACAGAGAAGCAGGAGAAGGAACCAUGUGGAAAUCAAGAGAAUGGCGUCCAGCAGCAGCAAAUGCAGAACGUGUCAGAAUCUCAUCCAAGAAUGGCAGAUCUUCUGCAGAGGAAAUCGAUGGCUGUGCCGCUGCUAUUUCCUGCCUCACCAUCAGUGUGGCUGAAGGCAGCCCUGCUUUAAUAACCCCCAGCACCAAGGGCUUGCGUUCACCAGCCCCUCGUUCCUUCUUUACCCAAAAGGGAAUAUUCACCAACACAAACCUGUGUUCUCUGUUAAUCUGAAGAUUAAUCAACCAUGCAGAUUUGUAUUAUCUUAUAUUAAGCAUACUGUUGCCUACAUUGGUUUCAUUUGUUCGUGACUAGAUUUUCAAAAGUUGCUCUCAAUUAAAAACAUCUGGGAAAAUGC